AACGACCCUAACUGGAAAAACAUAUGAUUUGAUAUACCCGUAUUUAGCUACUUUUAUGCUCGUAGUUUGUGGAUUUUCACAGCAAAACUAAGAUGGUACAUUUUGUUUCAGGACUGCAUGGUUGCCAGUAUAGAUUGCACGAUUCUAACUAGUUCAUGUGGAUAGUCCGUCCGUCUUAUGUUUAAUUAAACUAAGAUGGACGAUCCACCAGUGAUAAGUCUUGAGAGAUGAUUCAUUUCUUGUCUAUCUAUUUAUUUAUUUAUUUAUUUAUUUAGCCUCGCCUUGACAAAAAUGUACACAAAACAAGUACAACAAUUCAUAUACAUGAGACAUAACAAGAGGCGGGGACACCACAACAGUUUACACCAAUUACUGUGGGCCCUUUAGCUAAAAUUAGUGACAAAUUACAUGCAGACGGAGAAAAAAAUCAACUAAUUAGUCUAGUAGCAACAGGGAUCGGCAUCGAUUAGAUUGCGCGAUGUGUUGCACUUCAGGCAAACAGUUUUCCAGGUUCGAGCAUCAUCCACGUCGUAACAAGAUACACGGGCAUUAUGGUAGUAUUCUAAUAGUGACUUUUUAAAUAACGUUAGAGAUAAAUGAUCUAGUCUUAAGUGUUCGGGUAAGGAGUUCCAGGUUCUAGUUGCUCUAAUAAAAAAAUGACCGUUGAUAGGUGGCUGUCUUACAUCUACGAGGACGGUACGAGAUAACGCUGUUAUUUGAAGAUGAUCGAGUAAGCCUUGAGGGAAUAGAUCGUUUCGGCAAGAUUUCCUUCGGAACAGUUAUAAUACCAUUUAUGGCCUUAAAAAUAAAAUCAAGUCAAGAUACUCAUGCCAAUACGUUUUAUCUGGCUUACAAAAAUUAUUUUAACACAGGUCCUAUCACUUUGGCCUGAAUGUGUGUAAACGUGCUUUCAACGAUUUUAAAUUUUAAAUUUUAUGUAAAUUUGUAAAUGUCGACAGAAGUCAAAUCGGGA